rnacentral:rRNA from 1 species
GAACUGAAGAGUUUGAUCCUGGCUCAGAUUGAACGCUGGCGGCAUGCUUUACACAUGCAAGUCGAACGGCAGCACGGGUGCUUGCACCUGGUGGCGAGUGGCGGACGGGUGAGUAAUGCAUCGGAACAUGUCCAGGAGAGGGGGAUAACGCAUCGAAAGAUGUGCUAAUACCGCAUAUUCUCUGAGGAGAAAAGCAGGGGAUCGUAAGACCUUGCGCUUUUGGAGUGGCCGAUGCCUGAUUAGCUAGUUGGUAGGGUAAAGGCCUACCAAGGCGACGAUCAGUAGUUGGUCUGAGAGGACGACCAGCCACACUGGGACUGAGACACGGCCCAGACUCCUACGGGAGGCAGCAGUGGGGAAUUUUGGACAAUGGGCGC